rnacentral:tRNA from 1 species
AAGGGAGACCUAAUUCGGGUAGGAGACGAAAAAANAGUAGUCCCUACCAAGAAUCAAUCCCAAAAGGUCGGAGCGAGGCGAAAUUGGCUUUCAAACUAGGUUCUGGGUUCACACAAGACCUGAAUCAGGAACAAGGGCUAUUAGCUCAGGUGGUUAGAGCGCACCCCUGAUAAGGGUGAGGUCCCUGGUUCGAGUCCAGGAUGGCCCACCUGCACAGGUGGCAAAAACAAAGAAAAAAGGCUCCGAAUCAGCACCUUAUCUUACUUAUAUAGUAAGAGAGAAUGCUGGCUCUGAGUACAGAGUCCAGAGGAACCUUGAAAACUGCAUAGAGCUAGGUGAAAAAGCCAAAAAAGAAGACCGUUA